rnacentral:lncRNA from 1 species
ACUGAGCUACGCUCUCGCCUCGCGCUGCCGCGCCACACACGAACGACCUGAAAACCCCAAAACAACGUGGGGUGAGAACCAACUCUAUGGUUCCCAGUGGGUACGGCCACCCAAGGGAAAAGCUCGACCGAUAGGUCCGAGGAGGCACUGCAACAUGUUAGUUCAACAAUAUACAACAGAUAUAUAUAUUCAAUUGAAAUACAUGCCAUGCCUCACGAUAUGCGAUAUGAAAACCAUGCAACAACUAGUAGAUUAUAUGAAUUCUACUUUUACUUGGCUACUUUAGCUCAUAACUUUACUCUAAGGUUUCUAUUACCUUAGGAUCACAACACCAACCACUAGCUUCUAAGGUUUCUAUUACCUUAGCUCAAGCCUCUAUCUCUGGCUCAUAAGGGUUCCUCUACCCUAUCAUAGCUAACCACCCGACUCGGCUUCGAGUCAAUCAUCUGCGGAUAGUCCGCGCACUGGCUGCUCAACAGCCUACCGCACUCUCUCUGACUCAGCCUCCUAGCGGCGAAAUCGUCGCACACGCUGAAUACGGCUCGAGUCACAAGACUUGACCAUCGGUGGCGAUCGCGUUGCACAUACCCAGCGUGAGCUCGAGACAUGACAUACCGUCUGGCGGCGAACGGGUCGCACCACACCCAACAACGAUCAUGUCAGACUCAGUCACCUGGAGGCACCCGCAUCGUACUUACCCAGCAUGGAUUCAGUCUACUCUGGCGGUCUGAUCCUCAAAUGGCUUAACCACUCUGGCGGCGAAAUCGUCGCACAAACGCCAGCACAAUGGUUCAAGCCCCGGGCGGUGAUCUCCAUGUGAUCGCCCCCAAUCUACCCACGGUACCAAGCUCGGCGGCGAAAUCGUCGCACGAACGCCCUAGCCUGUACCAGGGACAUCAUAAGUCCUGGGAUUCCGGAAUCCACUUACCACAGGUCGAGGGUUCAUAGCCAACCCUAUACUGUCGACCUAGCUCAAUCUAGUGGCUAUACCACUAUACUCAUCAACCUAGGUUCCAACACUCUAGGUUCUAUGUCCACAUCACUUAACCUAGAUACACUUGCUAGGUUCUUAUCAUCUUUGCCUAGAUAUCCACUUCCAGGUUUACUAGCUCAACCAAGGUUUACUAACACUAGGUUAGAUGCCACACACCUAGAUUGUUCAACUCUAGGUUUACUAACCAACCUAUGUUCUUUAACACUAGGUUAAAUGCCACUCGAUCUACCUGACAACUUAGUUGUCCAGUCAUCUCUCCUCAUCCUAGAGUUAUCAUCUGGUUUAUAUACAUAUACCAUGCAUCAUGCUUUCUACUUAGCAAUUACUCUUUGCAUCAUUACUAACAUGCAUCCCUUACUUAGCAUCCUCAUCAUGCAUUAUUAUUAAUAUGCAUUUACUUCAUAUCAUGCAUUACUUAGCAUUACAUUAUUAUCAUGCAUUAUUAGCAUUAUGUAACUUGCUCACCAUGCAUUUCUACUAAGCAUUUUCAUCUAUGCAUUAUCAUUAUCAUGCAUUACUUUACAUUAGCUAGCAUUAUCUAAUGCCAUAAUCAUUAUGCUCCCCACUAUGCAUUGUUAUUAAUAUGCAUUUGCUCUAAGCAUUACCAUUUAUCAUGCUUUCUACUUAGCAUCUACUUUAUGCAUCUUUAUUAACAUGCAUCCUUGCUCUUGUCUACAUGCACAUGCAUCAACAUGAGAUUACAUUGCUAAGACAUAAAGGGCGACCUAGUCGCUUCGGUAAGCACAACCCACCUUUAACUCGCGUUCCGAUUGCUCGUCGACACUUGCAAUCGGCCUCCCGCGGCACUCGGCACCCGGCACGGCCCGAUACUGCAACUGCGCCUCAACCGUGCUCCGCUUCGCACCCCCGAAAAUUAUAGGUCUUCGGUUAUGUGCCACGAUGCCUCAAAUCCAUUUCCAUGAUUUUACAACGUCG